AACGAACGCUGGCGGCAUGCCUAACACAUGCAAGUCGAACGAUGCCUUCGGGCAUAGUGGCGCACGGGUGCGUAACGCGUGGGAAUCUGCCUUUCGGUUCGGAAUAACUCAGGGAAACUUGAGCUAAUACCGGAUAACGUCGCAAGACCAAAGAUUUAUCACCGAAAGAUGAGCCCGCGUAGGAUUAGCUAGUUGGUGAGGUAAAGGCUCACCAAGGCGACGAUCCUUAGCUGGCCUGAGAGGAUGAUCAGCCACACUGGGACUGAGACACGGCCCAGACUCCUACGGGAGGCAGCAGUGGGGAAUAUUGGACAAUGGGCGAAAGCCUGAUCCAGCAAUGCCGCGUGAGUGAUGAAGGCCUUAGGGUUGCAAAGCUCUUUUACCCGGGAAGAUAAUGACGGUACCGGGAGAAUAAGCCCCGGCUAACUCCGUG
rnacentral:rRNA from 1 species